GUGCUCACUUUGGCAGCACAUAUACUAAAAUUGGAAUGAUACAGAGAUUAGCAUGGCCUCUGUGCAGGGAUGGCAUGCAAAUUCAUGAAGUGUUCCAUAUUUUA
rnacentral:snRNA from 1 species